CUUCGGAACCUAUUUCUUGGGCUUAGCCUCAUUCUUCUACUUCUUCGCGGAUUUUUUUUCUUUUUAAAAGAAGACUUUCUUUUAGAAGAAGUCUGCUCCACAGCUAGAACUGUGCCCCUUGAACUUUUCAAGGUGCCCUCUGCUGUUACUAGCAUAUUCAAUAACUCGGACAAAGUGGCAUUAAUUUUAUUCAUAUGGUA
rnacentral:lncRNA from 1 species